GCGCACUGGCACGAAACUCGCCCUACCCCCCCUACAAUCUUUCACUAUGGCUUCGCCCGAUGGCAGUCGGCGCGCGCGCGGGUGCUACCAAGCUGGUGUAGAGGGGGAGGCUCGCGGUGCUUCGUCGACAUCGACGCGGUUGUGCCGGGGCGCUGAGAGGGCGGCGGGUCAGCGUGCCCCCCCGCGGCGGCGGGGCGGUGUGGUAGGGCCCGGCGGUAGCGCCACAUCAGCCGGGCGGGAUGGCGGCCCGAGAGCGGCGGGGGAGCCGGCGGCGGCUGUGGCCGGGCGGCUUCCGAGCGUUGUUUUAGUGCCAUCGUGCUCUUUGUGGGUUUAAAAUAACAUUUUUCCUGAGGUACAAGAUGAUAGUAGCCGUGCCGUGCCAUCUCUGCCUGUCCCGUGAGAAGCCUUAAAGCAUCUCUGUUGUUUUGAGAAGCUCUUGCGGGCAGUGUUUGGGAAGCUGAGGCAGGCAGGCCAGCUGUGUAAUGUUCCCGGGAGUCACACGAUGGCAUCCGAACUCCGCUGCAGCUCCCCGGCUGAGUGUGUCCCUUCCCAGGGAAGGCAGCUCCCACGAAUGGAAACGAUGACUGGCACUUAGGGCAGCAGUUUUUUCCCCUCAUUACAUCGUGGUCGCUGACCAGCCCCUGACUUCCCGGUCAGCACCAGCACUGACUCUGAAGUGAACACUGGGUGCUGUUUCCUGCCAUCACAACCAUGUGUUUUCCCAAAUGUGAGGCAGGACAUUGCUGCUGGUCCACCCGUGGUCCCAGCUGGGUCCAGUAUUCCAUGGCUCUUCCAGGGAUGUGUAUGAGGUCUGUGUUGCUUUUGUUUCACCACUCCCACCGUUGUCUCUAUUGCUGAAAUGUGCAAUUUCUGCAGUUGCCCUUUUUUCUGUUUGCACUUUUCCAGUCCUUUGGUUAAGCUGUGGAUCUAAACACUGGAUUCUCCUUUCCCUGACAUUGCACGGGCUGCUCUUUGCACUUUCCUCUACUUUUCAGCAACUUUUGAUUUAUCUGCUCUUCCUUCCUUCUCCUUUUCCUUUCUCUGUUGAAAUUUCCCCUCAGUCCGUGGCCUGUCUCACUGCUAUUCUUUUUUCUUCCAGCCCUUACUCAGCAAUCUGAGGGAGAGUGGAACAACUUUUAAAAACGCAGAUUUUGGCACUGACAGCUGAAGCCUGUUCCUUUAAGUACUCCACAUGCAAAACUCCUAAUCAAUGGGAAAUGUGGGGGGAAAAAAUCUUGCAGGAAAGGCUUUUUAUAACACAGCUCUCCAACCAGCAGUGCCUCAUGAAUUUUAUUGCGUGCAGGUGAUCUGAGAAUAGUGGAGCUGACAGCUCUGUUUCCUAAACUGAAUUCUGAAGGAGUAAGCAAAUUCUUGUAUGAAAUUUCAUCUAAUCCUGACAGGACGUGCCCAGAAUGACACUCUGUGAGGCAGGGCCUGGGGUAGGGACCUAUUUCUGCAUUGCUUUUCUCACCUGGAGCCUGCUGGUUCAGCCCCUCUGCUCCGCUCUGGUGAGACCCAGCUGGAGUCGUGCACCCAGCUCUGGGGUCCCAGCACAGCAAGGACAGGACCUCUUGGAACAGGUCCAGAAGAGGACACUGAGAUGAUCAGAGGGAUGGAGCAGCACUCCUGAAGGAAAGGCUGAGAGAAUUGGAAUUGUUCAGCCUGGAGAAGAGAAGGUUUCGGGAUGACCUGACUGUGGCCUUUCAAUACCUGAAGGGGCCUGCAAGAAACAUGGAAAGAGACUUUUUACAACAGGGAAUGGCUUAAAAUUGAAAUAGAUUAGGUUUUGAUUAGAUAUGAGGAAAAAAAAUCUCUGCCCUGUGAGGGUGGGGAGGCCCUGGCAUGGAUUUCCCAGAGCAGCUGUGGCUGCCCCAUCCCUGGAGGUGUCCAAGGCCAGGUUGGACGAGGCUUGGAGCAACCUGGGCUAGUGAAAGGUCCCUGCCCACAGAACAGGGUUGCAACAAGAUGAUCUUUAAGGUCCCUUCCAACCAUUCUGUGACUCUCUGACAUGUGUCCUCUUUUUUCUUUAGUGUUUCUUUAUGCUCAAGGUUUUCCAGAAGCUUUUGCUGCAGUUACAGCAAAUACAGAAGUGUUCAAUAACUUACAUCAAGCAGACACUUUCUGGCCCUGUUGAAAAAUUAUUUCCGCAAUUGAAUUAUUUUCCACAGUAUUUUUCUUCAAGGCUCCAAAGCAAUCUUCAGUUGAGAAUAUCUUAUUUAUACCAAAUAAAUAGUUAUGCUAUUAGCUUAAGUACAGACCAAUCAAAAAUCUAUAGCUGAAUGAGCACAUGUUGAUUCCUCCAUUCAUUUUCUCCAAAAAUGCUAUAUAGGCGAAAAACCCUGCGGUGUUCAGAAGUGCUGAGCAUGCAAAACUCUGCUGGGCUGCUGUACAAACAUGAUUUGAAGGGCCUCUCAGCUUAAAUAAUGCCAUGCUUUUUUAAUUUUAUACACAGCUUUCGUCUGCACCCACGCUCGUGGGGUCUGAGCUGAAAUAGCACCGAGGGAGGAGGACAAGGAGAAUCACCCGACUCAUUCACGUCUUUGUAGCAGUACAAAAACUUUUCAUUGUGGUCACAGUUACCCCCGAAAUAAUUCUCACUUCAUCAUUUUCUGCUUUAGUUCUCUCUGCAUACAGUGGAGGUGGCUAUUUAGCUUCCCAUGAUUAAAAAAAUAUCAGGAAUAUUAAUUAGGGAAUGCAUCCAAUCCUAUGGACAUUGAAAACAUAAAGAAUUAUUAUGAAUUGUAACAUCUCAAUCUGGAGGUCCAAAAUCUAUAAGGGUUUUUUGUGUCUGAUGGCAUUUUCAGGAAAAACGGUACACUGUACAAAACAUGCACCUUUUUUCUCACCACUGUGAACCAUAUCAUUCCUGACUAAUAAAGUACAGGAAAUGGGAGAAAAAAACCACUAAUAAAAUGAGAGGUGUUUAUACAUGGA